rnacentral:rRNA from 1 species
UACAGAGGUCUCAACCGUUGUUCGGAUUCAUUGGGCGUAAAGGGUGCGUAGGCGGUCGCGCAAGUCGGAUGUGAAAUCUCAGGGCUCAACCCUGAAACUGCAUUCGAUACUGCGUGGCUUGAGUACUGGAGAGGAGACUGGAAUUUACGGUGUAGCAGUGAAAUGCGUAGAUAUCGUAAGGAAGACCAGUGGCGAAGGCGAGUCUCUGGACAGUUACUGACGCUGAGGCACGAAGGCCAGGGGAGCAAACGGG